rnacentral:rRNA from 1 species
GACGAACGCUGGCGGCGUGCCUAAUACAUGCAAGUUGAGCGAUGAAGCUUGGUGCUUGCCCCAAUUUGAAGAGCAGCGAACGGGUGAGUAACGCGUGGGGAAUCUGCCUUUGAGCGGGGGACAACAUUUGGAAACGAAUGCUAAUACCGCAUAAUAACUUUAAACAUAAGUUUUAAGUUUGAAAGAUGCAAUUGCAUCACUCAAAGAUGAUCCCGCGUUGUAUUAGCUAGUUGGUGAGGUAAAGGCUCACCAAGGCGAUGAUACAUAGCCGACCUGAGAGGGUGAUCGGCCACAUUGGGACUGAGACACGGCCCAAACCCCUACGGGAGGGAGCAGUAGGGAAUCUUCGGCAAUGGACGAAAGUCUGACCGAGCCACGCCGCGGGAGGGAAGAAGGGUUUCGGAUCGUAAAACUCUGUUGGUAGAGAAGAACGUUAGUGAGAGUGGAAAGCUCAUCAAGUGACGGUAACUACCCAGAAAGGGACGGCUAACUACGUG